AACGAACGCUGGCGGCAGGCCUAACACAUGCAAGUCGAACGCCGUAGCAAUACGGAGUGGCAGACGGGUGCGUAACACGUGGGAACAUACCCUUUGGUUCGGAAUAACUCAGGGAAACUUGAGCUAAUACCGGAUAAGUCCGCGAGGAGAAAGAUUCAUCGCCGAAGGAUUGGCCCGCGUCUGAUUAGCUAGUUGGUGAGGUAACGGCUCACCAAGGCGACGAUCAGUAGCUGGCUGAGAGGAUGAUCAGCCACACUGGGACUGAGACACGGCCCAGACUCCUACGGGAGGCAGCAGUGGGGAAUAUUGGACAAUGGGCGCAAGCCUGAUCCAGCCAUGCCGCGUGAGUGAUGAAGGCCUUAGGGUUGUAAAGCUCUUUUACCCGGGAAGAUAAUGACGGUACCGGGAGAAUAAGCCCCGCUAACUUCGUGCCAGCAGCCGCCGUAAU
rnacentral:rRNA from 1 species